AUUGAACGCUGGCGGCAUGCCUUACACAUGCAAGUCGAACGGCAGCACGGGAGCAAUCCUGGUGGCGAGUGGCGAACGGGUGAGUAAUAUAUCGGAACGUGCCCAGUCGUGGGGGAUAACGUAGCGAAAGCUACGCUAAUACCGCAUACGAUCUAUGGAUGAAAGCGGGGGAUCGCAAGACCUCGCGCGAUUGGAGCGGCCGAUAUCAGAUUAGGUUGUUGGUGGGGUAAAAGCUCACCAAGCCUGCGAUCUGUAGCUGGUCUGAGAGGACGACCAGCCACACUGGAACUGAGACACGGUCCAGACUCCUACGGGAGGCAGCAGUGGGGAAUUUUGGACAAUGGGCGCAAGCCUGAUCCAGCAAUGCCGCGUGCAGGAUGAAGGCCUCGGUUGUAAAC
rnacentral:rRNA from 1 species